rnacentral:rRNA from 1 species
UACGGGGGGGGCAAGCGUUGUUCGGAAUUACUGGGCGUAAAGGGCUCGUAGGUGGCCAACUAAGUCAGACGUGAAAUCCCUCGGCUUAACCAGGGAACUGCGUCUGAUACUGGAUGGCUUGAGUGUGGGAGAGGGAUGCGGAAUUCCAGGUGUAGCGGUGAAAUGCGUAGAUAUCUGGAGGAACACCGGUGGCGAAGGCGGCAUCCUGGACCACGACUGACGCUGAGUGAGCGAAAGCCAGGGGAGCAAACGGG